AGUGAACGCUGGCGGUAGGCCUAACACAUGCAAGUCGAACGGCAGCACAGUAAGAGCUUGCUCUUACGGGUGGCGAGUGGCGGGCGGGUGAGGAAUACAUCGGAAUCUACUUUUUCGUGGGGGAUAACGUAGGGAAACUUACGCUAAUACCGCAUACGACCUACGGGUGAAAGCAGGGGAUCUUCUGACCUUGCGCGAUUGAAUUAGCCGAUGUCGGAUUAGCUAGUUGGCGGGGUAAAGGCCCACCAAGGCGACGAUCCGUAGCUGGUCUGAGAGGAUGAUCAGCCACACUGGAACUGAGACACGGUCCAGACUCCUACGGGAGGCAGCAGUGGGGAAUAUUGGACAAUGGGCGGAAGACUGCUCCAGCCAUACCGCGUGGGUGAAGAAGGCCUUCGGGUUGUAAAGCCCUUUUGUUGGGAAAGAAAAGCAGCACGUUAAUACCCCGCUGUUCUGACGGUACCCAACGAAUAAGCCCCGGCUAACUUCGUG
rnacentral:rRNA from 1 species